UGGGCCAGAUAAUAAUUGUUUAUAAUUUUGUACUCAAAACUAUUAAAAUGGGCUUUGUUUAAAGAGAUAAAAGUUAAAAAAAACCCGAAAAAUAAAUUGGCUCAAACCAAGUUGACUUUUAGCAAUACAAUCCAAAUUUUUUUUCCUUGUUUCAGACACAUUUGCUUUAAAAAAAAAAAGAAAUACACUCUCUUAUGGCGAUUGAAGAAAUGGAAUUGGGUCUUAACGAAUUGACUCAUCGUCAUCUCCAAGAUCCGAUGAAAUCGAAGCCGAUCUGAUGCAGUCAUAUAAAGGUAUUGGUGUGAUAGUUCGAUUUGGUGUUCAACAUAUCAAAACUCCAAAGUAUACUUAAAUACAAAAAACAACAAAACUCUCUCUCAAAAGUAGAUUCAUCUUUGGUAGAGAGAAGAAGAAGGCGAUCUCUGACCGAAGGACUUAUUCUGAUCCUUAAAGGUGUGGAUGCCUUUGACUUCAAUCAACCAAGUUUUUCUCCACAGCCUAAUCUUAUCAAGGUUUGGAUGCAAAUCGUUUGGGCCUACAUUAAACAUUGGGCCAUUUAAAAAACGUUGACACAAAACAUGUUGGACGUAAUUCACGUAAAUACCCUUUUUUAUUCUACGAAAUGUAAGGAAUCAUUGUAAAGAUUGGACAUGUUUAGGUAAAAAGGACAAUAGGAUCCUGCUUUAAUAGUAUAGAUUGGGUAAAAAAUUAGAUGAGCACAAGGACCACAAAUUAUUUGAGCCGGGCCUGCCAUGUAUCAACUUGCCAUUUGUAGAAACUUGCCCUUGCUCUUCAAGCCAAAACUUUUGACCCCUUGGUGGCCAAGCCAGAAAAGUAUAUAUUUCAUUAUCUUUUGUUGACUUUUGAAAUUUGAAUACAAACAAAAUCCAUUUGUUUUUUUUUUGUUUAAUUAUUAUAGGGUAAGACAUUCGAACUUGCUUAAAACAGUUUCUUUUCAAAAAAUAACAUAAACCUUGAGGCUUAUAAAAAGCCAUGUUGUGGAUGUGAUAUGAUUAUGUGUUAUUCAGAUAGCAAAAGGCAGGAUUCCUUCUGCCCCCGGGGCGUUGGAUCAAUCGCAUCGUCUCAUUUGAACUCGUAAACACCGCAUGUAAACAUAAACCUUACUGAUACUCUUUGCAUGAGUGCGCUUGCUUGGUGAAGGAGCGACACAGAAGGAGGAGCAGGGUACCUCAAACCCGAAGACGAGCAGUUCUAAGACUUGACAUUGUUUAUGAAGAGUUGCACAAAAGAGCGAGGAGAAAAUGAAGCUGGGAGACAGGAGUUUCUUUCAAGUACGGGUGUUUUAAUUUUUGUUUUUUUAAUAAGCUCUAUGAGCAUAAUCUGGGAAUGGGUAGUUUUUUGUCUUUUGUUUCUUUUUAUUGAGGUUUAUGUAUGAUGGAAGUGGUGUUAUGUUGCUCGUAACAUGGAAUAAACUUCUGCUUUUGGAUUA